CUACCAGGACUAGGAUUGCCAUAGGCCAUGUGGGAGUCCAGUGACAUAACCAUUAUGCUAUCUACUAAUCCCUGAAAAGAACAUCUUAAAGUGGCCCAAGGAGUGAGGAGGCCUGCCAAAACUGAAUUGGGAGACAAGGCAGGACAAGGCAGAGAGCGUCUGCUGUGUGCCCCCAGGACACACCUUGACAAGAACUCCCUAACUACCUGGCACGGAACAAAACUGCUUUAGAAAGGCCAUCAGAAACCUAUGCUUGUGGAUGUGGUCGAAGCAAGUGCUCCAAGGACUUGCAUGUUUGUGACCUCCUCCCCUCCCCAGUCUAACCCUCAGGAGACCAUUCUUUAGUGAGCCUGUUUUGGGCGACAGGAAUGGAUUCACCCUGGGGCCAUCUGCAGUCCUGGCUCAGGUCUGCUGGAUUGGAGCCUGGUUUCCAAAUAAGGAACAUUUCAUGAGAGGACUUCCACUGGUUGCACAGGUGACCCUGAGAUCCUCCUGCUGGUGGACAAGCAGGCAAAAGGAGAGGAUGAUUGAUCCUGAUCAUAUGAGGAUGUAGGGUCGCCGAUACAAAAUACGCAAGCAAGAGUUGACCUGGCAUUUAGAGGAUGCACGUAUGAUUUGAUUUUUCUGCCUGAAUACUUGAAGAAAUACGAUAUAUUUAUAUACGAGCUGGGCACAGAACAGCCGGCCCCCCUCCCGGGGCCUCGCGGCCGGGGGCUCCCGCCCCCUGCGCAGCCGGAGGGCCCACCUCCGGCCCGGCCUCCCUGGCCUCUCCGUGCUGGACGUGGAGGCCGAAAACAAGGUUGAAGAACUUGCAACUUGAGAA